rnacentral:lncRNA from 1 species
UCGGGAUUCGUGUAUUUUCUUUAAUUUUCGGUUUCAAAAGGAAAAAGGCCACCUUUUAGUGUUUUUUUAAAUUGCUAGGAUGGGAAAAACUUGUGUCGUUUGUGCCGCAUCAUGAUAAAAAGGUGAUUCAAGCCGAUCUUUUCACAAGAUUUCUGAUGCACUGGUUAAAAACACAGCAGCGAAUAAUUCACUUAAUUUACCAAGUGAUUUAUCCUUCAAAGCUGCAGGGGCAGCUUUCCUGAAGAGUGCAAAAACUUCUUUAGCUUCCAAAAUGGUAUAUAGUACAAACAGUGAAGCUAAUAUAGAUAAGUAUGGCUAAUUAAAAUAGAUUAAUAUUUUUGAUACACCAAAUUUUGUAUAAUUACAGAUCUGAUCAUUCAUCAUCAACAAUAACUGCAUCUGAGAUUAAUAGUUCUACAGUAAUCGUGUGGUCUAGGUCAACAAUUACUAUUUCCAAUCCAAGCCGUUUUUGUUUAACUGGUACACAUUCCCUGACUCUGCCAAGGAAAAGGGUAAAAUCAAAAUGAUAUCCUGAGGACCUAAGCACUGAUGAUUCCACCGUUUUAAAAGCUAAAUCACUUGUCACCAAAUUAUAGAAAAAAAAAUAAAGAAAAUUAAAAUUCGAAGAUUGCAACUAACAAAUUUGCGCCAAAGAAAUUGAAUUACAUCUCAAGUCAUUAUUAAAAUACUUAAGAAAUAAUAACAUGAUUUUCGAAAA